rnacentral:rRNA from 1 species
UUCGGCAAUGGACGAAAGUCUGACCGAGCACGCCGCGUGAGUGAAGAAGGUUUUCGGAUCGUAAAACUCUGUUGUUAGAGAAGAACAAGGAUGAGAGUAACUGUUCAUCCCUUGACGGUAUCUAACCAGAAAGCCACGGCUAACUACGUGCCAGCAGCCGCGGUAAUACGUAGGUGGCAAGCGUUGUCCGGAUUUAUUGGGCGUAAAGCGAGCGCAGGCGGUUUCUUAAGUCUGAUGUGAAAGCCCCCGGCUCAACCGGGGAGGGUCAUUGGAAACUGGGAGACUUGAGUGCAGAAGAGGAGAGUGGAAUUCCAUGUGUAGCGGUGAAAUGCGUAGAUAUAUGGAGGAACACCAGUGGCGAAGGCGGCUCUCUGGUCUGUAACUGACGCUGAGGCUCGAAAGCGUGGGGAGCAAACAGGAUUAGAUACCCUGGUAGUCCACGCCGUAAACGAUGAGUGCUAAGUGUUGGAGGGUUUCCGCCCUUCAGUGCUGCAGCUAACGCAUUAAGCACUCCGCCUGGGGGAGUACGACCGCAAGGUUGAAACUCAAAGGAAUUGACGGGGGCCCGCACAAGCGGUGGAGCAUGUGGUUUAAUUCGANCCAACGCGAAGAACCUUACCAGGUCUUGACAUCCUUUUGACCNCUCUAAAGAUAGAGCUUCCCCUUCGGGGGCAAAUUGACAGG